AUAGCGACUAUCGUGGCAUAUCAAUAAGCGGAGGAAAAGAAACUAACAAGGAUUCCCCUAGUAACGGCGAGUGAAGCGGGAAGAGCUCAAAUUUGAAAUCUUAAAGGGUUUCCCUUUACGAAUUGUAGUUUAAAGAAGUGUUUUCUGUUGGAGUUUCGGUAAAAGUUCUUUGGAAUAGGACAUCAUAGAGGGUGAGAAUCCCGUAUUUGACCAGUUACUUUCCAAGCUGUGUGAUACACUUUCAAAGAGUCGGAUUGUUUGGGAAUGCAGUCCAAAAUGGGUGGUAAAUUUCAUCUAAAGCUAAAUACUGGCGAGAGACCGAUAGCGAACAAGUACCGUGAGGGAAAGAUGAAAAGAACUUUGAAAAGAGAGUUAAACAGUACGUGAAAUUGUCAAAAGGGAAGCGUUUGACACCAGUGUUGUUUAGUUGAAAAUCAAUUCAAUAAUCUUUGAUUUUGAGUAGUAUUGACUUCAUCAGCUUGCUGCUUUCAUUUCGGAAAUUAUUGAAUGCACUUUUCAGUUAACAAGUCAACAUCAAUUUCUUUUGUUGUAAAAGGGUAAGAGGAAGGUGGCUUACGCUUCGGCGUAAGUGUUUAUAGCCUUUUACCUCUGCAAUCGGAGAGAUUGAGGACAGCAGCGUAGACUCCUUCGGGGGUUAGAUACACUUGUGCUAAGCUAUAGCCUUGUAUAGACAACUUGUCGACUAUGCUCAGUCAUGUAGUUUACUCGCAUGUGCUAUUUUACCUACGCUUAGGAUGUUGACGAGACUGUCGAUCUC
rnacentral:rRNA from 1 species